rnacentral:rRNA from 1 species
AUUGAACGCUGGCGGCAUGCUUUACACAUGCAAGUCGAACGGUAACAGGCCGCAAGGUGCUGACGAGUGGCGAACGGGUGAGUAAUGCAUCGGAACGUGCCCAGUCGUGGGGGAUAACUACUCGAAAGAGUAGCUAAUACCGCAUACGAUCUAUGGAUGAAAGCGGGGGACCGUAAGGCCUCGCGCGAUUGGAGCGGCCGAUGUCAGAUUAGGUAGUUGGUGGGGUAAAGGCUCACCAAGCCAACGAUCCGUAGCUGGUCUGAGAGGACAACCAGCCACACUGGGACUGAGACACGGCCCAGACUCCUACGGGAGGCAGCAGUGGGGAAUUUUGGACAAUGGGCGCAAGCCUGAUCCAGCAAUGCCGCGUGCAGGAAGAAGGCCUUCGGGUUGUAAACUGCUUUUGUACGGAACGAAACGGCUCUGGUUAAUACCCGGGGCUAAUGACGGUACCGUAAGAAUAAGCACCGGCUAACUACGUG